AAUGUCUGCUGUAAUCAAUGCUGCUGCUGACAUUUAGAUAGGCCUACUUGUUUGUGCAUCAACUCUUGUCAUUUUAAUCCUGAAAUUGAGUUUUUCUUUACUGCCUGCUCUGGACCACCUAACUACUUUUUUCACCUCUCAAAGAUGGAGUUGGUUUACUACUCUCCAGUGGGCACUGGAUAAAAAUCCGUCACAGUGGAAAGAAAAGUGACAACCUUGGCAUCGACACCCCUCGCUUUUCUAAACGACAGAUUGCAUCCCACAUGGUCCUUUGCAGGGGGAGACUGCCUUGGCUUUUCAACCGGCAUCUGUUCUCUAUUCUCCUGUUUGAUCCCCGGCAUAGCGCGACACUUUUUCUAUUAUGUUACCAAACUCUGAUAUGGCAGCUAUAACACAACAUGUCCUCCUGGCAUCAACGUCUACAUCCCAACAACCUCAAGUGCCACUUCACAGACGUGUGGCUAAUUUGGAGAAGCCAAUUCACAGAAGUCAAAGAGCAGAUCAUGUUGCAAAACACGCAGCCAUGCGAGGCUUUUCUGUGGGCCAGUGGCUGGAUUGAAAAAAAAA